AACAGACACACACAUGCAUACACAUGUACAGAGUGUCCUUUCUCCUCCAGAGACAGGCAGAGCCUGAGCUUGAGAUUGACCGACAGACACAGAGACCCGCAGACUCUCAGAGAUGCACAGAGGGAGGGAGAACGAGAGAGAGGCACCCAGGGAGCGAGAGUCCCAGGGAAUGAGACACACUCCCACGCGCACACACCGUGCGCGCUGGGGCAGACAGAACAGCGCUGCAGCCCGCCCGCCAUAGGCGUCAGAAGCAGCAGGACAGGGAGGCAGAGAAGGCUGGAGGCCCAUGGAAACUAUGCUGGAUUUGAGCCCAGAUCCCAAAUCUCCAGCCUGUUGUCUUCUCACCACCCACAAGUGCAGGGAGG